rnacentral:rRNA from 1 species
CAAUAGCGUAUAUUAAAGUUGUUGCAGUUAAAAAGCUCGUAGUUGGAUUUCGGGGCAGCCUGGCUGGUCCGCCGCAAGGCGAGUACUGGUCAGCCGCCCUUCCUCUCGAAAGCCCCGACUGCUCUUUACUGCAGUGGUCGGGUAGUUCGGGACGUUUACUUUGAAAAAAUUAGAGUGUUCAAGGCAGGCCGUCGCCUGAAUACAUUAGCAUGGAAUAAUGGAAGAGGACCUCGGUCCUAUUUUGUUGGUUUCCAGGGCCGAAGUAAUGAUUAAGAGGGACAGUUGGGGGCAUUCGUAUUUAAUUGUCAGAGGUGAAAUUCUCGGAUUUAUGAAAGACGGACAACUGCGAAAGCAUUUGCCAAGGAUGUUUUCAUUAA